ACAUAUACAUAUAGGGAGAGAGAGAAAGAGAUACAAAUUUGUUAGAUUAAGCCAUCUUUCUGGGAUGAACUCUUCUAGAAUGAACUCUUCCUCCAUUUCUCCACUACAAACUCUCUCUUUUCAAUUUCACAUUUAAAUUCAGAUAUCACACAUCUAAUUAAUUAACUAACCCUAACUAGUAAAAAAGAUCCAAAAUCUUGGGCUUCUCUUCAUCACAGCCGAUGUCAUUUCCGAUUGAAUUUGAGGAGUCUAUCAUAAUCGGAGCAUUUUGAUUGUUAGCAAUUGGUCGAAGGACGGGUUGGGCUUGUGGUUUGUGCACAACAUGGAGAGAAAGUAUCUUUCCACCCUUGAGAAUCAUGUCUUCCGCUAAACCAAACACUGUCCAUUUUUCGUUGAAAAAUAAUCCGAACAGGAUUAAUUGUAUGGCCAACCGGUCCAACAACGAAUGAUCAGAAUACAACUAAAAAAAGGUUCAGAUCAAAUCAUGAAUUAAUUAUGAGAAUUAAUUACGCGUGAUUAAUAAAUAAAAUUAAGAUAGUUGUGUUACCAGAUCGUUCAAUGCAG
rnacentral:lncRNA from 1 species